GAUGAAGAACGCAGUGAAAUGCGAUAAGUAAUGUGAAUUGCAGAGUUCAGUGAAUCAUCGAAUCUUUGAACGCACAUUGCGCCCGUCAGUAUUCUGGCGGGCAUGCCUGUCCGAGCGUCAUUUCAACCCUCAAGCCCCCGGGCUUGGUGUUGGGGAUCGGCGAGCCUCCGCGCCCGCCGUCCCCUAAAUCUAGUGGCGGUCUCGCUGUAGCUUCCUCUGCGUAGUAGCACACCUCGCACUGGGAAACAGCGCGGCCACGCCGUUAAACCCCCAACUUCUGAACGUUUGACCUCGGAUCAGGUAGGAAUACCCGCUGAACUUAAGCAUAUCAAUAAGCGGAGGA
rnacentral:misc_RNA from 1 species